UAGCAGACAACUCUUCCCGACACCUGCAAAGUUAAAAGAACAAGAAUGUCAAUAGUUGCACUGGAAUAACCAAGAGCUAGCAAGCAAAUCAGCCCACAAUGAUGGGAGUACCAAAUUUGAUCAGCAUUCUGGCUUCACACAUUCAUCUAAACUUCAAAGAAAAGAGAUGGAUGGGCAAUCAGAUUAGCUAGAGAUGAGACCAUGGGCAACAUAAAGAUGAUUACAAAAUUUUGUUUAUGCAAUUUAGAGAGAGAAAAACACAUGGGGUAUCUAGUAUGCUCACAUGGCAUGACUUUACAAUCCAAACAAAAGAAGAAAUGGAUUACCCUGCCAUCUAUCCAAAGCUUUUGAAGUCCUCCAAAACAAGUACAAAGAUGGAAACCAAUUUUCUUCUAUUUUCGUCUCAAACUACAGCAUGAAGACUUUUGUAACUCCGCUGUCCAACAUGUUUUCAAUCUUCUAAACCUAUAUCCACUAAUUUUCCCUAGAUGCAACUAAAAUCUGACAUCAGUGAACCCAGCAACAGCAGAUGCCUCAAAACUCAGCAUGGCUAGCAAGCUAGUUGCUUCUUUGCUUCCUUUAUAAGCCAAACUUAAACCUGAGAACAGUCUUUCUUCUUCUGUUCUUCACCCAAAAACCAACAUAAUUGGCUGCGCCAAGAUAAAACACAAUUCUACUUGCCAAGCUCAGCUCAGCCACCUAAAAAGCCAUUCAUCUUGGAUCAUUUUCUAUUUCGUUAACAGUCAAACCCUACUAAAUUAACAAUGCCAAGACUGAAUAAAAUGCAAUUUCCCAGGCCACACUCAAUCAUCCCACUAACUUAUCCAGCACAGUUCUUCUUCUUUUGCCUGACAUAGUAGGCUGAGUGAAAAUCAAAAUAUUCUAGUUUGCUCAGCUCAGCAUAAUAAAGUACACAAUCCAGCUUGGACAUUUUGUUCUGCAUCAAAAACUCACACUCUAACCCAAUUGACUGUGCCAAAUCAUAAGGCUGAAUAUAAAUUUGCUGAGACCAGACUGCAUGAAAAAAAUGCAAUUUGCCAAGAAAGCUCAAGCACCCUGAUAUUCAACCUAGCAAUAAAUCAUUAACAGUUCAUGUUCAUCUCUGAUCUUAUAAGGCAAGAAAAUUUCGAAGGUAGAAAUUGCAGAAACCCAAUGGCCUGAUUAAUAAGGGAGCACACAGGCAUUGCUUGUUUCAAAUUAAUGCAAGCAUCUUAUCCCGAUUGAACAGCAAUACACAGAAUAGAAUAUCACUUCCCUAAACUAAAAAAAGAUAAGCUUCAGUUUUGUGAUGUGAAUAUAUUAGGCAAUGUCAGGAAGCAUGCCUGUAUUAAGAACACAAGUAAGAAAAAUAACAAGUAAAUAACGCUUGGCCAAAUGAUUGGUCAGUCAACCUGAUUCAUAUCAUACAAAAAAGCAUUACUCUGUUCAAAAUACACAGCCUAUUAAAAAAGAAAAUACUGAAGAAACUCAAGCACAAGAUGAUCAGAUUUUUUACAUAGAUCGAGAAGCUGUUGCGUGACAGAAAAUUGGAAAGGUGUAACACCAGAUUAUGCCAUAGUGAAAAGUGAAAAACAACAUUGAAACAAAUAAUAAAGGACAUUGUUAUUCGUAGAUCGAUAAGCUGUUGCAUGACUGGAAAAUUGGAAAGGGCUACAUAUUAAAAAGCCUCCAGAUAAUACCAUCACUUAGACAAAUGUACAUGAAAAGUGAAAAACAUCAUUGACAUGCAAAUAAAUAAUGGAGCCUUCAUAAAGUUUCUCUGAUGCUGCAGAAUCAAAUUAAGACAUUAGAAAUGGACCAGUGCAUUGCACAGUUGCCCGCAAAAAUUUUAUAGAUGUAACUUACAGAAGCAUAAACAAAUCUUUUAUCAAUUUAGUUAUGCAAUUAAACUGAUAAUCCAUAUCUCUGUACAACUCACAAGGAAACAAAAAUUUCUUUCCAUUUAAAUAGCAUCCAACAAAAAAUAAAAAGAAAAGAAUUUUCCAAGCACAGCCACCCGGAUUAAGCAACACAAAGCACCAAUCUUUAAAUAAAAGACAAUUUCAAACGACAUUAAUACCCACACACAAACUAAACAACGGCCCAUAUGCGACAAACUCGAAAAUGUGGCAUCUAAGAAGCCAAAAAAACAAAAAUUGACAAGUACCCAUUUGCUGAAACCAUAAAAAAACCCCUAAAAUAACUACAUCACAUUCCAAAUCAAUAACCCAAAUGGCCUAUCCUCAGAAAUAAAUCAAAACCAAAAAGAGGGAGAGAUGAGCAAUGAGCAGCUCACUAACCGCUAUCCCCAAUCAAGAGAAG
rnacentral:misc_RNA from 1 species